AAAAGCAUUCUGCCACUGCGCUUUCAAAGGUAACAGCCACCACAGUGAUGUGUACAUAUUAUAACUGAUGAACAAAUAUUGUUAGACUUGUUUCUGGUUAAAUACUAGCUUUUAACCUGUUUGAUUACAACAAUAAUUUACUUACAAUAUUAUAGGAAAUUGUAGGCGCAUGCAGACAUUGACGCAUUGAACUAGUUCUGAUUGGAAUCCAGCAGCAGGUGUGGGCAGCUGUUGUCUACCACCCAGAUCCCCAGCUAUUACCUACCUUCCAAGGGAGACACAUUGUUUAGACGUCUGCACAAGGUGGAAGAGCGAUAGGAGUCUUCGCUGUCUCCUCCUUCUGGCAUGGGGCGGAGAGCAGGAGUUCUGGAUUCCAGGGCCAAGGCUUGUUUAUGUUGUAAAAUCUUUAACCAACACCCUCGGCCAGAAGCCAGCGGAGAUCGGACACAGUCAGACAUGGCACGAGGGCAUGGGGAGGUGUGUAUUUUAUUAGAAUCCACAUUAAGGAGCUGUAAGCACUUACACUUGCCCAAAGUGAGCGCUGAGGUGGGAAUGUGUGUAUGUGUGACUGCUGUUUGAUUUAUGAGGUGUUCUCAAAUUAUGUGCCUGAGGAACUUACUGUACCACGGGUAGAGCAGACCACCAGCAUAUUACUGAAUAUGAGUUCUGGUUUUGUCUGGAAUGAAUGUGGAUUUUAUGGCUUGUCAAUUGUUAGAUUUACUGAGAACAUUGGUUGAAAAUGAUUAAUUUUAUGUUCAUUUA